rnacentral:ncRNA from 1 species
AAGCAUGCAUUGAUGAGGAAGAGUACGGAUAAGUGUACAUUUCAGAGAGGGAAGACGAUGGUGUGAGUCUUUCUAUGUGAUACUAUCCGGAAUGUCGCCUCGGAGCAUUCAUUCUGAACCAUUUGUAAGUAAGAAUGAACGGAGAUUCCGUUAUCCAAUGAAGUCAUCACCUGAGAACAGGUUUCUUUGGUGUUGAAAAUAAAGGUGGUACCACGAUAAGCCCUCUCGUCCUUUUC